UCCUUGGGACACUGAAUUUUCACAAGCUAGCUAACUUAGUAGGCCUAUAUAAAGUAUCCACAGCUAAGGACGUUGACUUAUAUUGUGGGAAAUAAAUAUAGAUGUACUCAAAAAACACAAGCCCAUUGUAUUGGGAAAGAUAUGUAGUUAGAGAGCACAGGCCCAGUGUAUAUGGGAAAGGAAUGUAUUAAUGAGCACCAACUGUCUCCUCCCUGACGUAUCAUCCGGCUAGCAAAAGAGGAAGGAUGCAGGUGGACCAAGGUCGACCUUAGCCAUAAGAUUAACAACCGGCAGCAGGGAAGCGCUUCAUACUAAAAUAGGUGCGAUUAGAACAAACACGUAAUACACACAUAAUUUCUGCCCUGCUAAUUAAGCUGUAUACAAGCACAUCUGUGGAACUAACGGAAGCUUCUGCCUUUUCUGGAAAAUGUGUUGUCAGAAUAUGUGAUUUAUGAUAGAAGGGGGAGAGAGAUUCAAGUGGGAGACGAGCACUAUCAUUUUUAAAAAAUAAGGAAGGAAGGGGCUGAUAAAUAAUGGUGUCCGAGAAUUGGGAAAUAAUGGUGUCUGAAAAAUGAGAAACAAUGAUGUGUGGGAAAAGAGUAAAGUAAAAUGAUGUAACCAUGAGGGACAGUACAAGAUUGAGCUCCACAACAGGAGGAGCUAAGAUAGGAUAAAAGGGAGUGUUCGGCCCCAGGGGAGGGGAGUAUGUCUUGUAUGUCUUGGGAGGGGAGUAUGUCUUGUAUGUCUUGUAUGUCUCGUGUGUCUUGUGUGUCCUGUCUGUGUGUGUGUGUGCGUCUUAUGUGUUUUCUGUGAAGUGUCUUGUGGAAUGCUUUGAGACAGUUUGUAUUGAUGUGUGCAGAUCAGCCCGGGUUCUUGCAUGUUAUCUUUGAAUUACCUGCAAUAAAUCCAGUUGCAUCAGA